AGACUUUUUCUUGAUUGAAAAUGGCAGAUACGCAAUUUACAACAGUGAAUUAUGGAGCAGUAAUGUAGCUGGAAAAGAAGAAACUAAAUCUACACAAAUAAAAAUGCAACAUUUCUUUUUUUCGGUGUAGCUUACUGAAAUCAUUCAGAUUUUAAACAUGUCAAAGGUUAUAUCACAGUGGAAGUUUACAAGGAUGGUUCUCCAAAGGUUGUGGAUAGAUUUCUCGAUUUAUGGUUUUAUUCGGAAUCUUAUCAAGAGGAAGCAACUAAUUGAUGCUGUUAGAUGCAUUUGCAUCUUGCAGUUAAUUGACAAGUUCUGCCAAAAAAAGAAGAAGAAUUUAUCCAACCUCUGGCUGCAUAUAUGGCUCCAUGCACUCUGAACAAAAAAGUAAUUACACUAUUGGUUCAUCACAGCCUCAACCAACCAUUACAAAGUUCAUUCAGCACAAACUGGAAGAAAAAGAGGAGGAAAGAAAUGAAAACAUAGGACAAAAUGAUCUUCUUGCACGAUGCAGAAUAAUUUGCUAUGCAAAAUAAUUUGCUAUCUCCAAUACAAAAACAGCAUCACAGGCUACAUUCAUUGACAAGAGUCACCACAACAUUCAUAUCGGUCAGGUUGAAGAGAUACUUGGAGAUGAGGCAUGUUGAUGGAAAGCUGGCCUUCGAGAAGCUUAUCUGCUUUGCUUGCAUUUGGCCCUUGAAAAAUGGAUAUAUUCAAGAAAUUCAGAAGACCAGAUUUUAAAAACUCCUACAUACACAGAUUUCGAAACUUAAAGAAGUUGUGCUCCAAGGGACUGAACCAUAAUCUGGAUCAAUUUUCAGUGAGAUUAGUGGAACAACAAGCCACAAAACCUCAAAUUUUCAGGCCAACAUUUAUGAAACACUUCUCAUUAUUGUGUUCUAUUUAUAGCUUCAUUAAACUAUACUUACCAAGUUUGAUUUGAAGUUAUUAAUUCCAGUGAGAACUUCGUGUAACGUGUUCUAAUAAUGCAGCUAAAAAAUUCAAAAGCUGUACCAACCUCAAAGGCUGCGUACAUCUUCUGAAUUCUUUAACUGCAUGAUUAAAACAGGUUACACGAAUUUCUCCACCGGAAUCAAUAAAUUCAAACCAAACCAAAUCUGUAAAUUUCAACAAAACAUUUAAACUUCAGUUAUUCCAAUAACAUAUAACAAUAAUUCCCGCAGCAAAGCGCGGGCACUCUUU